UACGUAGGGUGCGAGCGUUGUCCGGAAUUAUUGGGGCGUAAAGGGCUCGUAGGCGGUCUGUCACGUCGAAAGUGAAAACUCAAGGGCUUAACCCUGAGCCUGCUUCCGAUACGGGCAGACUAGAGGUAUGCAGGGGAGAACGGAAUUCCUGGUGUAGCGGUGAAAAUGCGCAGAUAUCAGGAGGAACACCGGUGGCGAAAGGCGCCACUCUGGGCCGGUACUGACGCUGAGGAGCGAAAAGCGUGGGGGAGCGAAAC
rnacentral:rRNA from 1 species